UACGAAGGGGGCUAGCGUUGCUCGGAAUUACUGGGCGUAAAGCGCACGUAGGCGGCUCUUUAAGUCGGGGGUGAAAUCCUGGAGCUCAACUCCAGAACUGCCUUCGAUACUGAAGAGCUCGAGUCCGGAAGAGGUGAGUGGAACUGCGAGUGUAGAGGUGAAAUUCGUAGAUAUUCGCAAGAACACCAGUGGCGAAGGCGGCUCACUGGCCCGGUACUGACGCUGAGGUGCGAAAGCGUGGGGAGCAAACAGGG
rnacentral:rRNA from 1 species